rnacentral:rRNA from 1 species
AACGAACGCAGGCGGCAGGCUUAAAACAUGCAAGUCGAACGGACGUAGCAAUACGUUAGUGGCAGACGGGUGAGUAACGCGUGGGAAUAUGCCCUAUGGUUUGGAAUAACUCAGGGAAACUUGAGCUAAUACCGGAUAAGCCCGAAAGGGGAAAGAUUUAUCGCCAUUGGAGUAGCCCGCGUCUGAUUAGCUAGUUGGUGAGGUAAUGGCUCACCAAGGCGACGAUCAGUAGCUGGUCUGAGAGGAUGAUCAGCCACACUGGGACUGAGACACGGCCCAGACUCCUACGGGAGGCAGCAGUGGGGAAUAUUGGACAAUGGGGGCAACCCUGAUCCAGCCAUGCCGCGUGAGUGAUGAAGGCCUUAGAGUUGUAAAACUCUUUUGUCCGGGAAGAUAAUGACUGUACCGGAAGAAUAAUCCCCGGCUAACUUCGUGCCAGCCGCCGCGGUAAUAC